CAGUCGCCACGGUAAUACGGAGGGUGCAAGCGUUAAUCGGAAUUACUGGGCGUAAAGCGCACGCAGGCGGUCUGACAAGUCAGAUGUGAAAUCCCCGGGCUUAACCUGGGAACUGCAUUUGAAACUGUCAGGCUGGAGUCUUGUAGAGGGGGGUGGAAUUCCAGGUGUAGCGGUGAAAUGCGUAGAGAUCUGGAGGAAUACCGGUGGCGAAGGCGGCCCCCUGGACAAAGACUGACGCUCAGGUGCGAAAGCGUGGGGAGCAAACAGGAUUAGAUACCCCAGUAGUCUCUGUCUCUUAUAA
rnacentral:rRNA from 1 species